UUUUGGCGACCAGGAAGGGACCUCCAAAGUGACCUGCUACUGACUCCCAUCCCUCCAGAUCUGGCAGGGUGUCCGCUGUGCUUCUGAUCCAGCAAGACACCCAUUGCCACUCCUGAUCUGGCUAAGGGCUCACCAUUGUUCCUGCACAGCUAAGUGCCCGGGUUCGUCCUAAUUGAGCUGAACACUAGUCGCUAGGUUCCACCAUUCUCUUCAGUGACCCACGGCUUCUAAUAGAGCUAUGACACUCACCACAUGGCCCAGGAUUCCAUUCCUUGGAAUCCGUGAGGCCAAGAACACCAGGUCAGAGAACACUAGGCUUGCCACCAUCUUGGAAGUGGCCCACCACCAUCUUGGAAGUGGCUCGCCACCAUCUUAGGAGCCCUGUGAGCAAGGACCCCUGGGAGAAAGCAUUUAUGGUGAGGAGAAAAACAGCUGGUAUCACACUCUACCCAAGUCCCAAAAACAGGUUCACAUAACUCCUGUCUUCGUUAUCUGAUAUCCGUAUGAAGAAUGUAAGAUAGAAAACAAAUUAGCAUUUGAGAGGAUUGAAAGAGAAGCAUUCUCAGCAGAGCCAAGAUUCACUUAGAACAAAAGG
rnacentral:lncRNA from 1 species